rnacentral:rRNA from 1 species
UACGUAGGGGGCAAGCGUUAUCCGGAUUUACUGGGUGUAAAGGGAGCGUAGACGGCAGCGCAAGUCUGGAGUGAAAUGCCGGGGCCCAACCCCGGGACUGCUUUGGAAACUGUGUAACUGGAGUACAGGAGGGGCAGGCGGAAUUCCUGGUGUAGCGGUGAAAUGCGUAGAUAUCAGGAGGAACACCGGCGGCGAAGGCGGCUUGCUGGACGGUAACUGACGUUGAGGCUCGAAAGCGUGGGGAGCAAACAGG